UUAAGUGUUGAGGGCAGGUUUAGGAUAGGGGAGGGUUAAGUGUUGAGGGCAGGUUUAGGAUAGGGGAGGGUUAAGUGUUGAGGGCAGGUUUAGGAUAGGGGAGGGUUAAGUGUUGAGGGCAGGUUUAGGAUAGGGGUGGGUUAAGUGUUGAGGGCAGGUUUAGGAUAGGGGUGGGUUAAGUGUUGAGGGCAGGUUUAGGAUAGGGGAGGGUUAAGUGUUGAGGGCAGGUUUAGGAUAGGGGAGGGUUGGGUGUUGAGGGCAGGUUUAGGAUAGGGGAGGGUUAAGUGUUGAGGGCAGGUUUAGGAUAGGGGAGGGUUAAGUGUUGAGGGCAGGUUUAGGAUAGGGGUGGGUUAAGUGUUGAGGGCAGGUUUAGGAUAGGGGAGGGUUAAGUGUUGAGGGCAGGUUUAGGAUAGGGGAGGGUUAAGUGUUGAGGGCAGGUUUAGGAUAGGGGAGGGUUAAGUGUUGAGGGCAGGUUUAGGAUAGGGGAGGGUUAAGUGUUGAGGGCAGGUUUAGGAUAGGGGUGAGUUAAGUGUUGAGGGCAGGUUUAGGAUAGGGGUGGGUUAAGUGUUGAGGGCAGGUUUAGGAUAGGGGAGGGUUAAGUGUUGAGGGCAGGUUUAGGAUAGGGGUGGGUUAAGUGUUGAGGGCAGGUUUAGGAUAGGGGAGGGUUAAGUGUUGAGGGCAGGUUUAGGAUAGGGGUGGGUUAAGUGUUGAGGGCAGGUUUAGGAUAGGGGAGGGUUAAGUGUUGAGGGCAGGUUUAGGAUAGGGGAGGGUUAAGUGUUGAGGUCAGGUUUAGGAUAGGGGUGGGUUAAGUGUUGAGGGCAGGUUUAGGAUAGGGGUGAGUUAAGUGUUGAGGGCAGGUUUAGGAUAGGGGUGAGUUAAGUGUUGAGGGCAGGUUUAGGAUAGGGGAGGGUUAA